CAGUCCUAAAAAAACUUCUGUUUGAAAGAUCUGCAAGAAGAUGGGUAUUUCAUGAAAUGCACAGCAUGAGAAGAAGCAUUCUUAAAAAAAACCCCAAUCAAACCAACAUCAGCUGGCUGCCACCUGAAGUGACAUUUCUUCUCAUCGUCUGCCGACGAUUGGCCUCACUGUGGAGCAGCACUGGUGACUAGAAAAGGUCAUAAAACUUUUCCCAGAUCUAAAAAGCCUAUUAAUAAGGAAGAGUGGAGAUGCCAGCACUGGUUAAUAUUCCAUUUUCUAUUUUGUUAACUAUUGCAAG